CCUACGGGAGGCAGCAGUGAGGAAUAUUGGUCAAUGGGCGAGAGCCUGAACCAGCCAAGUCGCGUGAGGGAGUACUGCCCUAUGGGUUGUAAACCUCUUUUGUCGGGGAGCAAAAGCCGGACGUGUCCGGCUGUGAGAGUACCCGAAGAAAAAGCAUCGGCUAACUACGUGCCAGCAGCCGCGGUAAUACGGAGGAUGCGAGCGUUAUCCGGAUUUAUUGGGUUUAAAGGGUGCGCAGGCGGAUUUUUAAGUCAGCGGUAAAAUCGUGGGGCUCAACCCCAUCCAGCCGUUGAAACUGGGGAUCUAGAGUGUGCGAGAGGUAUGCGGAAUGCGUGGUGUAGCGGUGAAAUGCAUAGAUAUCACGCAGAACCCCGAUUGCGAAGGCAGCAUACCGGUGCACAACUGACGCUCAGGCACGAAAGCGUGGGUAUCGAACAGGAUUAGAUACCCGAGUAGUC
rnacentral:rRNA from 1 species